CAGUGGAUUUUAGAUGGCGUUGUGGAGGUUCGUCCGCUGGAGGAUCUUGUGGGAGUUCGAUUGGCAUUGUUGAAGUCCAGCUGAUGCUCUUGAAGGUUGAUAGCUGGGGAGGUACGACAGACACCGGAGGUGAUCGGCCGUUGUAGAAAUCCAACUGUUGGAGCCUAUCUGUUGUAGAAGUUCAUCCGAAAUCCAUCCGCUAUGAAGGUUUAGACGGAGUUCGGUUCUUAUAGAAGUCCGGAUGG
rnacentral:lncRNA from 1 species